CCUUCUGGAUCGUUAGUACGGCGAGUGAACCGGGAAAAGCUCAAAUUUGUAAUCUGGCUGUCUUCGAUAGUCCGAGUUGUAAUCUAUAGACGUGUUUUCCGUGCUGGACCGUAUCUAAGUCCCUUGGAACAGGGUAUCAAAGAGGGUGACAAUCCCGUGCUUGAUACGACCACCAGUGCUCUGUGAUACACGCUCUACGAGUCGAGUUGUUUGGGAAUGCAGCUCAAAAUGGGUGGUAAAUUCCAUCUAAAGCUAAAUAUUGGCGAGAGACCGAUAGCGAACAAGUACCGUGAGGGAAAGAUGAAAAGCACUUUGGAAAGAGAGUUAAACAGUACGUGAAAUUGUUGAAAGGGAAACGAUUGAAGUCAGUCGUGUUCUUUGGAUUCAGCUAGUUCUUCUAGUCUACUUCCAUUGAACGGGUCAACAUCAGUUUUGUCCGGUGGAUAAAGAUAGUAGGAAUGUAGCUCCCCCGGGAGUGUUAUAGACUAUUAUUGCAUACACUGGGUGAGACUGAGGACUGCAGCUCGCCUUUUGGCCGGUCUUCGGACACGUUCGAGCUUAGGAUGUUGACAUAAUGGCUUUAAACGACCCGUCUUG
rnacentral:rRNA from 1 species